UGUGGUGCUGAGGAUCGAACCCGGGCUGCACGCAUGCCAGCCAUGAGGUGAAAGGUUUGCCUCACCAUGAAAUGCUGCAUGGAGUGCUGCCUUGCCACAGGCCCAACCGACCAUACACAGAAACCCCUGAAACUAUGAGGAAACCAAUGCUUCCAGAGAAGCCCCAAAGUCAGUAGAGGAAAAAGCAGGGACAAAAAAGCAAACCCCUACCACCUCCCCCAAGGUGGCAGGAAGGCAGCAGAAGAGACAGCUGUCCUGGAUCUUCAAGGAGGGAUGGUUUCCAAGCAAGAGGCUUUCUUCUUUCAAAAAAACUGCUUCUAGGCAGAAGGACUGCUGGAGACCAGCCUGGGCAACAUGUGCAGACAGCUACCCAGGGGAAUGCUGGAAGAUUUGAGGUGGAUUCUCAGACGGCAGCCGCCCCGACGGCCCAGUCCUGCCGUUGGAACGGGAGGAAGUUCGCAGUCGGAGGCUACAAACCCCCAGUUAACGGACCUGCAGGCGGCGCCCGGCGCCUCUGCG